rnacentral:hammerhead_ribozyme from 1 species
AUCCGGCUGACGAGUGUAAAACAAGACGAAAUGCGCGUCCUGGAU